UAGUCAGGUAGGAUAAUCUUUACCUGUUCUUCCUUUUAAAGGGAAGAUUAUAACGUGAUGAUUGAGUUCACAUUAUUUGUGAUUAGCCUUUCUGCUUAAGCAGAACUUGCAACACCCUGAUUGCUCCUGUCUGAU